rnacentral:rRNA from 1 species
AACGAACGCUGGCGGCAUGCCUAACACAUGCAAGUCGAACGAGACCUUCGGGUCUAGUGGCGCACGGGUGCGUAACGCGUGGGAACCUGCCCUUAGGUUCGGAAUAACUCCCCGAAAGGGGUGCUAAUACCGGAUAAUGUCUUCGGACCAAAGAUUUAUCGCCUUUGGAUGGGCCCGCGUGGGAUUAGCUAGUUGGUAGGGUAAAAGCCUACCAAGGCGACGAUCCAUAGCUGGUCUGAGAGGAUGAUCAGCCACACUGGGACUGAGACACGGCCCAGACUCCUACGGGAGGCAGCAGUGGGGAAUAUUGGACAAUGGGCGAAAGCCUGAUCCAGCAAUGCCGGGUGAGUGAUGAAGGCCUUAGGGUUGUAAAGCUCUUUUACCCGGGAUGAUAAUGACAGUACCGGGAGAAUAAGCUCCGGCUAACUCCGUG